UACAGAGGGGGCAAGCGUUAUUCGGAAUUAUUGGGCGUAAAGGGCGCGUAGGCGGCCAUUCAAGUGACGGGUGAAAGCCCUCGGCUUAACCGAGGAACUGCCUGUCAGACUGGAUGGCUUGAGACCGGGAGAGGUGAGUGGAAUUCCCAGUGUAGCGGUGAAAUGCGUAGAUAUCUGGAGGAACACCGGUGGCGAAGGCGGCAUCCUGGACCGAUAUUGACGCUGAUGCGCGAAAGCCAGGGGAGCAAACGGG
rnacentral:rRNA from 1 species